UACGUAGGGUGCGAGCGUUGUCCGGAAUUAUUGGGCGUAAAGGGCUCGUAGGCGGUUUGUCGCGUCGGGAGUGAAAUCCACUGGCUUAACUGGUGGCUUGCUUUCGAUACGGGCAGACUGGAGGUAUGCAGGGGGAGAACGGAAUUCCUGGUGUAGCGGUGAAAAUGCGCAGAUAUCAGGAGGAACACCGAUGGCGAAGGCAGAUCUCUGGGCCGUAACUGACGUUGAGGAGCGAAAGCAUGGGGAGCGAACAGG
rnacentral:rRNA from 1 species